UAGCAUUUAGGAAUGAGGCCUUUGGGUGGUGAUUAGGUCUAGAUAAGGUUAUGGGGGUGGGAUCCAUGAUGGAUUAGUGUCCUUGAAAGGAAGGAAGAGAGAUCAGAGCUUGCUCUCGGGACACAGUGAGAAGGCAGCACCUGCAAGCCAGGGAGAAAGCCGUCGCCAGGAACCGAAUCUGCUGGCACCUUGAUGUUGGCCUUUCCAGCCUCCAAAACUGUGAAAUCCAUGACUGUAGUUGAAGCCACCAGUCUAUGGUAUUUUGUUAUCACAGCCCAAGCUAAUACACUGGCCAACAGCUGGCAAGAACCUGAGGCCUGCCAACAGCCGCAUGAGUGAGCUCAGAAGCAGAUUCUCCCUCGACUGUGCCUUAAAAUGCCUGUGCUCUGGCCAACACCUUGAUUACAGCCUUGUAAGAGACACCCAGCUAAACUACACCUGGUCUCCUGACACAGAAACUCUUUGAACCGUAUUCAUGGGGACAGUCAGCCAGAGAGAAUAAAGCUAAUGAACAAAGAGAAGUGGCAAAGAAAAACCAAAAGAGGACCUGUGUUCAGCACUUGGAACUUCUAUAAGGGAAUCAACCAGGUCUGCGUUCUUGCAUCAUCUUAACCCUUUCCAAAAUCAAGAGACAAGAUUUCACUCUGUCGCCCAGGCUGGAGGGCAGUGGCACAAUCGUAACCUCGAACUCCUGGACUCAAACGAUCCUCCCUACUCAGCUUCCCAAGUAGCUGAGAUUACAGGACACACCAGCACAAUCAGCAAAUUUUUAUAUUUUUGUGUAGAAAUGGAGUCUUGCUAUGCUGCCCAGGCUAGUCUCAAACCACUGGCCUCAAGUGAUCCUCCCACCUCAAGAUCUCAAAGCGCCGUGAUUACAGACGUGAGCCACUGUGCUUGGCUAUCAGUUGGAUUCUCAGUGUUGAAUUCAUCAGUUUAGAGGAGUUCUUUAUAAAAGUUUUGGACAUUAAGAUUUUGGUUGUUUUUGCUUAUCUUUUGAUUUUAUUCAAAGUAUCAUUCACUAUUCAAAAUAUUGGUGCUCUCAGGACUCUGUUCUUUUGUGGAAGGAGCCUUAGAGAAUAAGGCUUCUAGCCUCUUGCCCCACCUUCCUAGUCUUACCCUGGGGAUGGGGAGUGAUUCAACUGGUGGGUAACUCUGGCAGAACAAGAAGCUGAAAUGCCCAGCUCAGGCACAUCCUCCCUCCCCUCUGUGAAAAAGCAUGCACCUUGCUCUGCCUCGGUGCCUGCCUGUACAUUUUACAGGAGCCGGCCCUCAUGGUUGACCUCAGGGGUGAACUAUUAGCACACCUGCUUGCCUAGCAGACCUAAGCCAUAUUGUCCAGUAUCAGUUUUGAUGGUAAUAAAAGUAAUAUUUGUAUUUCCA
rnacentral:lncRNA from 13 species